UCCCCUAGUAACUGCGAGUGAAGCGGGAAAAGCUCAAAUUUAAAAUCUGGCAGUCUUUGGCUGUCCGAGUUGUAUUCUGGAGAAGCGUUUUCCGCGCUGGACCGUGUACAAGUCUCUUGGAAUAGAGCGUCGUAGAGGGUGAGAAUCCCGUCUUUGACACGGACUACCAGUGCUUUGUGAUGCGCUCUCAAAGAGUCGAGUUGUUUGGGAAUGCAGCUCAAAAUGGGUGGUG
rnacentral:rRNA from 1 species